AUAGCGAGGGCAUACGGUCGGUUAAAACGUCCCAUUUCCGUCUUGUGCUGCGCGCCUCUUUCGGGAUCGCGGCACGGGGUGGACAUCAAAGCAUGCGUCGUGUUCCACCUCCUUUGCAAGUGUUGUUGCACAUGCCCGGGUUGUUGGCACAUGGCGUCACGCUCGAUCUCUCGGAUUCGGAAUAUAAAGUGGGUACGAUGAGACAUUAGCCUCUAAUCGCCCCAAAAACAAGUGUUCGACGCUUCGUGCGAACGACUGCUGUCCUCGUUUUGACGGAGUCCUUUGUGGCUUUGCUCAUGCGGGAGCGGCGUCGAUAAGGAUGCUACCUGGUUGAUCCUGCCAGUAGUCAUAUGCUUGUCUCAAAGAUUAAGCCAUGC
rnacentral:misc_RNA from 1 species